rnacentral:rRNA from 1 species
GAUGAACGCUGGCGGCGUGCCUCAUACAUGCAAGUCGAGCGAACAGACGAGGAGCUUGCUCCUCUGACGUUAGCGGCGGACGGGUGAGUAACACGUGGAUAACCUACCUAUAAGACUGGGAUAACUUCGGGAAACCGGAGCUAAUACCGGAUAAUAUAUUGAACCGCAUGGUUCAAUAGUGAAAGACGGUUUUGCUGUCACUUAUAGAUGGAUCCGCGCCGCAUUAGCUAGUUGGUAAGGUAACGGCUUACCAAGGCGACGAUGCGUAGCCGACCUGAGAGGGUGAUCGGCCACACUGGAACUGAGACACGGUCCAGACUCCUACGGGAGGCAGCAGUAGGGAAUCUUCCGCAAUGGGCGAAAGCCUGACGGAGCAACGCCGCGUGAGUGAUGAAGGUCUUCGGAUCGUAAAACUCUGUUAUUAGGGAAGAACAAAUGUGUAAGUAACUAUGCACGUCUUGACGGUACCUAAUCAGAAAGCCACGGCUAACUACGUG